AAGUGUGUCUUCCUUAAAAACUUCAUUCAGUAUCACUUUUCAAAGUAGAACUGAUCCAGUUCAUGCUGAUACAGGUCUGGACUAGGUUAUCUCUGCAUCUGUCUCAGUUGUAAUGCUGUUGUCAGCAAGCACAAGCGGGAACAGUGUGCAGAUUGUUUUAAUUUGCGCUGGGGGACUGCAUUUGGCUCUAUGAAUGAGGACGCAUCUUUGAACGUUCCCUGCCUCUACUGAGCUCAGUGCUCCUGGUUUGCAGUUCUACAAUAUGAGUAUGCACUUAGCCAGCAGGAUCUGAGCUGG
rnacentral:lncRNA from 1 species